AACGAACGCUGGCGGCAUGCCUAACACAUGCAAGUCGAACGAGACCUUCGGGUCUAGUGGCGCACGGGUGCGUAACGCGUGGGAAUCUGCCCUUUGCUUCGGAAUAACAGUUAGAAAUGACUGCUAAUACCGGAUGAUGUCUUCGGACCAAAGAUUUAUCGGCAAAGGAUGAGCCCGCGUAGGAUUAGGUAGUUGGUGGGGUAAAGGCCUACCAAGCCGACGAUCCUUAGCUGGUCUGAGAGGAUGAUCAGCCACACUGGGACUGAGACACGGCCCAGACUCCUACGGGAGGCAGCAGUGGGGAAUAUUGGACAAUGGGCGCAAGCCUGAUCCAGCAAUGCCGCGUGAGUGAUGAAGGCCUUCGGGUCGUAAAGCUCUUUUACCAGGGAUGAUAAU
rnacentral:rRNA from 1 species